rnacentral:rRNA from 1 species
AGCUUUAUGAAUUUUAUAUAAGGUGAAACCUGCCCAAUGAAAAUUUAAAUGGCCGCAGUACCUUGACUGUGCUAAGGUAGCAUAAUAAAUUGACCUUUAAUUGAGGCCUUGAAUGAAAGGAUAAAUGGGUAGUUACUAUCUGUUAUUAAUAAAGUGGAAAUUACUUAAAAGGUGAAAAUUCCUUUAAAUUAAAAUAAUAGACGAGAAGACCCUAGGAGUUUAAGAUUUUGUUGGGGCGACAGUGUAGUAGAUAACCUACAUGAUUUAGAGAUUUUGUAACGAAUAAUUUUAAUAAAAAAUAAACUACCCUAGGGAUAACAGCAUAAUUUUAAUUUAAGUUUGUGACCUCGAUGUUGGACUAGGGACUUUUAAAGCUAGCAGCGUUAAAUGACAAGUUCUGUUCGAACUUUAUUACCUACA